CUGAAAACUCUAAUCUCCUAAGAAUCCCAGAUUAGAUACAGUAAUAUGAUAGGGGAGAGAGAAAGCAUCCAGGAAUGGAUUUUCUUCAGUGUUUUGGAGCUUUGGUACACUUCAGGAAAUAUAAUUCCAGCUGAAAUUUGGAUAGCUGGGAGAGAGAGAAAGGAGUAGUGGCCUUCCUAAGAUCAACCAGCGGCUUGACAGCUCAGGUAGGAGCAGCAUUUGGACCCUUUGCUUUGCACUCCUGCACUCUGAUGGAUGUGCCACACAACCUUCAGGCCUGUUCCAUUUUGA
rnacentral:lncRNA from 1 species